GCGGACGUGGCGAAACUGGUAGACGCAAGGGACUUAAAAUCCCUCGGGCUUGCCCGUGCGGGUUCGACCCCCGCCGUCCGCA
rnacentral:tRNA from 1 species